rnacentral:ncRNA from 1 species
CCUAAUACAUGCAAGUCGAGCGAAUCUUUGGGAGCUUGCUCCCAUUGGUUAGCGGCGGACGGGUGAGUAACACGUGGGCAACCUGCCUGUAAGACUGGGAUAACUUCGGGAAACCGGAGCUAAUACCGGAUAAUCCUUUUCCUCACAUGAGGGAGAGCUGAAAGACGGUUUCGGCUGUCACUUACAGAUGGGCCCGCGGCGCAUUAGCUAGUUGGUGAGGUAACGGCUCACCAAGGCGACGAUGCGUAGCUAUGUGCGGACGGGAUAAGUGCUGAAAGCAUCUAAGCAUGAAGCCCCCCUCAAGAUGAGAUUUCCCAUAGCGCAAGCUAGUAAG